AGAAGUCACAGAUGGCCGUCUCAAAUCAACAACCGGUACAGUGAACGAGUUAAGUGACGCGGUUAUGUACGCAAAACAAUCGCGUCAGACGCGGAAAACGUCGUGAAACAUGUAAGGAGUUUCUAUCAUAAGUGCCAACACGUUGAAUUUUACGUUUCUUUUUGUUUUGCAAUACCACCGAUCAGCAGUGAAAGCAAAACUUGGCUUGUUCCACCGUUGCUUUCACGAAUUGGUUUUAUCGUCAGUGACGUACGGUUCUCGAACACCGAGGCCAAAUACAAUUUGCUGUUCGAGGAUGAGCGCGAAUAAUGUGCAAGCACUUUUCGCCUGUUCAAGAUGUUUCUCAAGGCAUCCUUUCGAGGAGCUUUCGCCGGGGCAACAAUUGUGCAAGGAAUGCAGAGGUGCAUUUCCUGUGGUGAAAUGUACAUAUUGUAGAUCAGAGUUCCAACAAACAAUUAAGGGUAAUACAAGCACUAUUUGUAAGAAAUGUGAGCAGAAUGUGAAAUCUUAUGGUAAGCCAUCGGCCUGUGAAUAUUGCAAUACCAUAGCUGCAUUUAUUGGUAGUAAAUGUCAAAGAUGUACAAAUUCUGAAAAACGUUAUGGGCCACCAGUUACUUGUGAGCAGUGCAAACAGAAGUGUGCCUUUGACAGACAAGAUGAAGAUAAAAAAGUUGAUGGAAAGUUAUUAUGUUGGCUAUGUACACUGUCAUAUAAACGAGCAUUGGCGAAAACUAAACAAUCGGAUGCUGAGAGGAGGGCACAUUUGAAACUUGCACAACAACGAGCAGCAAAGCACAAAGAACAAAAAUUAAAAAGUCACAAUAAGAGACCACACAGAGUCGAUGUAACGAAACUACCGCCUCAGUCCGAAGGUGCAGACACAAACGGUCCGACACCGGUGAAAGCAGCGCGGAUGGGUGGCGUUCACGAUCCGCAUGAUCCCAACAGUUCGGAUCACGUAGUUGCGGUUACACAACUUAAAGAAAAGAUAGCCCAUCUCCAGAAACAAAUCUCUAUUAAAGAUGGGCAAUUACUUGCUAAGGAUAGACAAAUUACAGAAUUGAAGGCAAAAAACUUCACGUCGGAAACGGAACUUCGUAACAAGAUGAAAGCGACGGAGAAAGAAUACGAAGCCAAAAUAUCGACGAUGCAACUCAAGAUCUCCAGUUUGUUAAAAGAAGUUGCUUCUCUAUCGAAGAGUUCUAAGCGGGGCGACAGAGUUGCUGCUACGAAAACAGAAGCUGGGACCAACAGUGGAAGUGGAACAGACAGUCCUGUACCUUGAUAAGACGCUGUGCAAAGCGGCAGGAGCGAACCGGCCGGAGCAGAGUCGAUCCGAGCGGAGCGCGAUUAAAAGUGAAGCCUCUUGACCACGUGGCCGGAGGUCAAAGUGGCGUAGGCAGACGUUACUCUCUUCGUCUGGUUGGCGGGUUGGUGGCCGCCGCGCGGUGGAAGCGAGCCGCGAGGCUGGCAGUGGCGGCGGCGGUGGCGGCGGCGACGACGGCGGCGGUGGUAGCGAGGCCUCGUCGAGCGGUAUGGAAACUCGCAGCUAUAGACAAUUCUGAAAACGGAUCCGAAGGAGAAAGGGGGUGACUAGCUGCGUCGACCCAAUAAGGCCGAGGGGAUUUUCAGGGACACCGGUUACAGAAACAUCACGAUAGCUCAUAGAAGUCAGAAGAGGAAAGGGGAAAGAUGAUGGAAAGAGUAGGGAGGAAGGAACACGGUCGAGAGAGGGUUUCUAUGUGUUCGGGACGCGGUCGAAGACACGAGACACACGGCGACCGCUCGUUACAUAAGUAAGGUAAAGGAUCUCCUCUUCUGCUCUCCUUGAGCCGAUCCACAUCCGCGAUUAUGCCACUUUCCAUCGACCUCGCUUCACCUCAGCUCGCCAUACACCGACGGCACAUGUGUACAGUGUACGUGCAACGGAAGCUCGUGAUUUUCUUUAUGGACUGAAUUCGGAACUUCGUGAAAUCGAUCGACAGGGAUCUCGGAUUUCAGGGAAAGGAUAUGCUCGUUUUAAAAAAUCGAAAGGCAUCGAACGAUAACUUUUUACGAUUAGUUAAACAAAGUACUCGUAGAUACUUUAGAUCGAUCUUUUAAACGAAUGCUUCGGAAAAUAAAACUAGUCGAGUUUGAUGUCGGAAAAUCGAAAAUAGAAGAUCAGAUAUAAUACUGUAUUUUAUCUCCGAAAUAAAAGGAAUUGUGUCACUUUUUCUCUGACACGCCCGGAGAAAAGGAAGCUGAAAAUUAUGCCGACCUAUUCUGUAGCCCUUGCACACAUUGUCCGGAAAAAUGCUGCGGUGCGAAAAAGAUUUAUUAAACUUCCCGUUUUUUCUUUUCUCUCGGGCCAGAGACGUUUUUAAUUAGAUAGCGAAAUUUGUACUUUGGUCUAUUUACUUCCUUCUCUUUAAAGCAAAGAUGCCUCUCGAAAAUUUGCCCUGCCUUUUUCUCGUCGUUCCCAUUACUCUUUCACAAUUCUUUGCAAACGGCAUUCUAUUUGCUCUUGAUUCACCGUUAACGAAAAUUAACCGCCCGAAAACAUUCUUUGUUGGUAUCUGCGCGGAGAGGGAUCAAAGUAAACGAAACUUCGUCGAGAAUAAAGUGCAUCGAACGAAUCGGCGGUAAUCGAACUGGCGUCAUUUUAGCACGCGGUUCCGUAUUAUGUAAAGCGAUUCGCAUCGGCGGAAGACGCGUCUUGCUUCGUGGACCAAUUUGUUACGUCCACGGUUUUUACGAAACACUCAUUCGCCGCGCUGGUCCGUUUUAUUCUUUCCCCUUCCAUCCUUUUUGCUCGCCAUCGCGAUGUAAAGUUAAUUGGCGUAGCGCCGCGCGGUUACUCGAUUUACAUGAGUUUUAAUUAAGCGACUGCGUUUGCUCGUCUCACAGCGAACGAUACCUACCGGGGCCACGUGGAAUUUUUGAAGUAAUUGUUAUGUGUUUUGCACGCCUUGCCCUGCCGAGGUAUGAAAGAGGGGCUGGGCAGAUACAAAUCUUCAAGAUCGUAAAUUCGCUUUUUUAAUGUUACACCGCGAGGGCUAUCAUUCUCAUAAUGACCUCUUUAAUUCACCAGCAUAUUUUCGACAAUUACUACGCUCUCUCGUUUGCUCUUCUCAUCUUUUGCCUGACGUAAAAAUCGUUUCCCGUGAUCGUUGAGGUUCCUUCGAAUAAAUGGACACUAGAUCUUUUUAUAGUCGGAUUAUGGUUCCCUGUGUGAGAUCGGUGACAUUGAUAGGUCAACGAACUUUUCGAAUGACCUUGCCUUGGUAAGUAUAGCGGUACGGUGAAAAGAUUCAUAGGCAAGUAAGUUUUCUCCUACUGGACGAAUAAAACGGAAAUAUCGUGUUUGGUAUUAUCGUUUCUACACUUCAGACGAUAAAUAGAUACAGUUACGUACUUUUUUUCGUUUUGUCUUUGUUAACUUUGUUCGUUUUUUGUUUAGUACUUUGCUGUGACAUAUAUUAAUUGUUUCGAUCUUUUACAUUUAGCGGGGUUUGUUCGCACGCGACUAAACGGUAUGGUCAUCUGGCGGUGAGAAAGCUGAACUAAAAUGUCACUUAUAAUAUGCUACUACGCGAGUACAUCUCGUCUGUAAUGACAUAUAAGUUCGUGUCACAUGUCUUAGUCAUUAAAAAAUUAGAGAUUCUGUUAUGCUGCAGAUACAGACAAGGUACAAAAUAGAUGCGACAUGUAACACUUUUGCCUCACGUUUUGAGGAUUUCCUGAUUCUCUUACCAUUUUCGUGUCACAUGCGAUGUUAUCGAUUCGAUAUACAUAUAUACAUAGUAGCGAUUUGAAUAACAUAAUACAUAAUUUACUAGAAAGAAAGUUUUCGAACUUGUGUGCAAGAUUUGUAAAUGAUCCCAACCAAUCAGGAGUCAGUCAGGUGAAGAUUUGGCGCUAGAUGACGUUAUACAGCGAAAAAGUGAGAAAAAAUGAAGAUCUGUACGAUUAUUAGAUUCUUCAUAACAUUUCCCCUUUCGCCAGGAAGGAUGUAGCGGUGUCUCAGCUUUAAGCAUUUUCUUUUGGCCUUCGCUUCUUCCGUCGAAUUCGGCGGUUCUGUCUGAUGACGCCUUGGUCAUGGCUUCCCUUGGGCCACAACGAUAUCGAUGACAACGUUCUUCGCAUUUAAUCAUGAGUCGCAUGCAUCUUUGUUUUUCUGGUCACUCAAUCGUGUCGUAGGAUGAAAGGUCCGAAUCGACACGGGUGACCGAUCGUAUUACGUAGAAUUUUUAACUAGCAUGGUGACCGCAGGUAUUUAUUAUAUCCAUGAGUAGUAACUUUUUUUAUUUGUAUUUUAUUUUUUAGUUGAGGGCAGGUUUUCUUACGAAUCGCGUUUUUAAGUGUUGUUGAUCAAUGCAUGUAUGUCAGUGUAAUAUUUACAUACUACAAUAUAAACAAUCUGUAUGAAUAGCAUAAUGUAAAUAAUUAAUGUAUGUUUAAACGAUUGAAAAUGACAGAAUAUAUUCAUUAUAAUUAUUUAUAAAAUCAAAUUAUAUUCAAUAUGAUUAUUUGCAAAGAUUAAAUGUCCAUACAGCAUAUAUUAUAUGAAUAUUGAAAUAAAUAGCGAAAUGGCUUUGUUCAAGUAUUUUGUAAUGGAGAAGUCUGAUACACUCAAACUUCGUUAGCACGAAGAUUUUAAUUAUGAUCGAAAUUAUUAUAAUGCUAAUGAUGAUUAUAUUCAAUCUUAUCUUUUAUUUUACGAUAGCGUGGAACAACAUUAUUAUUUAAGUUGUAUUUUCAACAUAAUUUUAGUGCAAUUUGGAAUAUGAAAUAUGAAGGCAUUAUGUCUAAUUUUGUUCACUUGUUAAGGUGUAUCAAAUUUCACGUGUAAGCAGACACUUCGCGACCAGAAGAUUUCAGAAUCAAAACAAGUUUUGAGUCAUUCUUUGUGCUUCGAAGAUGUGUUUUAACGACGAAAUAACUCCAGGAUGUUUCUGUUGGGCACUAUUUCAGUUAGAAUUAUUGAUAUAAAUAUUAUUUGAAAAUUAAUAAAGUAAGGUAAAGUACAGAGUCAGUAAAAUUUGAAUGAAAUAGGACUAUUGUCUCUUUACAUGAAAAUUGUAAAAGAUAUGUCAAUUAUAUAUUUAGCCUAGAAUUUUCAGGUUUAACACCUUCUAUGUUCAUUGCCAGCGCUUCACUCACCGACUCAGGUACUGCCGGAUAGAAGAAAGACAAUGGGUACGAUGACUAGUUCGUAAGAUUAAUAAUUUCUCAGUAACUGAUGUUGCGUGUAUAUCCUGUAUGACGUAUUUUAUACUCUGCGUGUGUGUCUGUGUGUGUGCGGCUAGGCCGUGGAAUUGCGUUGUUUCUCAGUUCUUAUUACAUUCACUAUAAUCAAAAAUAAUUAAAGAGUUCACAACUAGUGACGUAAUUAGAAUUCACAGCUAGAUCUACGAUUAAAUACCUACAAAGAAUUAUAAGCAACAAAAAAAUAUGAUUAUGGCUGAUAAAUGAGAUAUAUGAGUCAUAUAAAAAUAUGACUGUCAAAUUACAAUGAUAUCCUCCAUAUCAUUUAUACCAGUAGUGCUAACUGUUUAAAGAUGUUCGUACGUAUUAUUGUAAUUAAAAUUGAAAUUUAUACGCGUUUUUAUCGUGUUCAAUGCACGCCGAUAAUGCCUUCGUCAGACAAUUUCAGAAAGGUGCUACGCACAUUAAAGUGUAAAAAUUGUGAGAACCGUAGAACCAGUGUGUUCGUGUGUCUAUUUUGCCAUUUUUUAAAUAUACAGUUAAGUGAGAUAAAUAGGAUACUUUCCGGUAUGAGCAUUAAUUGUAGAUAGGGCCAGACACGUUGGUACAAUCCCUGAUCGGGUUAGAGUUAGGCGCAUAUUCAUGUGUUUCGGGAAAUUUGAUUUGGGAAACCGACGGUGAAUCACGAUGACGGAGCAUGCCAUUUAUCUCUGACUUUGCCUGUCGAUUUUUCAAAUUUCGUAGAUUUUCAAACAAACGUUUAUGUAUUGUUGGAGCAUACACAUGCGAACGGACAGCUAUCACUGUGCGACGUUCAUGUGCAUUUGAAUUAACUUCCUCGAUUUAUAUUUUUAUUUUACAUCGUACCUGUGACAGCAUGUUCCUGCUCCUGAGUCAUUUUAUCCAGUUUCACCAGUAGCUUCCUAGAAUGUUAUUAGUGUUGCAAAUAUAUAAAUCUGAAUGUAUAGGUUGAUAAUUAUUACUGUUACGUAAAUAAUUGCUAUAUAAAAUCCUUAGAUCUCCGGUAGAUAGAACUUAUAAACAUUUACAUUUGCAAUAGGUAGGAUUUAUGAGCCUCUAGAUUUGUAAUAGGUAGGACAUAGGAUAAAGUUUUAAAUGUCUUACAGGAAUCUUUAUGGAAUCAGUAAAGCGAGAUCCAAAUCGUAUUUAAAAAUAUGUAAAAAGAUAUCCAAGGUUUUAGAAGGUAUAUUCAUCCCACACACGUCUUCCCUUGCCUUUGUUAUACUCGUAUAAAUUUACAGUUAUGUAGCCUGCAUUUGAAUUCGAUUUAUAGUUAGUAGUUAGAAGCAAAAAGAGAAUUUUGAACUUUCUCUAUUAUUUCCAUCUUGGAAUUUCUAUGUAAUUAAGUGAAUGGUAAAUGAAAGAGCUCUUGUAAAUAAUUACAUUUAUUUAUUUAUCAAUUUCACAGUAUAACAGUGUAUACGAUACGCUGAAUAUAGAAUAAUCUCUGCUCUUUAUCGUUUACUAAUUAAGGCGAUUAGUAUGUGAGUGAUCGGUAAGAACAUAUAUUAUAUAGCACGUGUACUUUUUAUUGGUCGUCACGAUAUUUUUUUUGUCGCUUCUUCUUCUUUCGCUUUCCUUUUAUUUCGUUAUAGAGGUACGCUACCGUUUGUUAGCCUAUUCUCUUGCACGUUUGUCCUUUCUCUUCUCGACGGUAACACAUCUUUACCAAGUACCGUAUCAACAACUAAUUAUUUUUCGUAAGACGUUAGUUUUUUUUUUUUAUUUUUAUGUACUCGUGCGGAUAAGGCCACAAUUAGUGAUUUUCCGCGUGUGCGUGUCGCACACUCGUCCGACAUGCGUGUGUGGAUGCGUGUGAUUCUUUUUCUUUCUCUUCCUUUUAUUUAUUUUUUUUCAAUUUUUUAUCAUUUUCUCCACUUUGAUGUGGUUAAUGCAAAAAAUGCUCGCGAACGUAUAUCGCGGAUACGCGAGAUAACAAGAUCAUUUCGAUCCUUACUGACUUUCUUGUUCGAGAAAAAGUACAACGAUCGAACAUGAAGGUCGAUUGCAUUUAAAAUUCGCGUUUUCACGCAUUCGCGAAUAUGUGCACUUGUGGGCUCGUGUGAGAGUUAAAAUCGUUCCGAGGCUAACAUAGGAAAGAUAGAAAUUUAGUUACGAUCGUUGGAGUAAUACAAAAGUAAAAUUUGUACAUUAAAAAUCUCAUACAUCGAAAAACCCUUGAAUUUGAAAAAUUUUGAAUUUUUCUAACAACUGUGCACCCGAGCCCCGUCGUUUUAAUUAGUCGUUCGUUAUACUCGAAUUUUGCACGAGUCUUACUGUACAAUAUCGCGGAGCGAUAGAUAGAGAUAGAUAGAGAGAGAGAGA